rnacentral:rRNA from 1 species
AUUGAACGCUGGCGGCAGGCUUAACACAUGCAAGUCGAGCGGGCAGCGGACGGGUGGGUGAGGGAUGGGAAACUGCGUGAUGGAGGGAGAUAAGGACGGGAAACGGUAGCUACAGGCGCAUAACACCAGAUCUGCCCAGAUGGGAUUAGCUAGUAGGUGGGGUAAUGGCUCACCUAGGCGACGAUCCCUAGCUGGUCUGAGAGGAUGACCAGCCACACUGGAACUGAGACACGGUCCAGACUCCUACGGGAGGCAGCAGGGGGGAAUAUUGCACAAUGGGCGCAAGCCUGAUGCAGCCAUGCCGCGUGUGUGAAGAAGGCCUUCGGGUUGUAAAGCACUUUUAGCGAGGAGGCGUUACCCGCAGAAGAAGCACCGGCUAACUCCGUGCCAGCCGCCGCGGUAAUUC